ACAGCCAUAUCCUGUUCAAACACCAGUUUCUGUAUGAUCACUGAAGUUAAGCAACAUCAAGCCUGGUUAGUAUGGGUGACCGCUUGGGAAUACCAGGCGCUGUAAG